rnacentral:rRNA from 1 species
UACGUAGGGGGCAAGCGUUGUCCGGAAUCAUUGGGCGUAAAGAGCGUGUAGGCGGCCCGGUAAGUCCGCUGUGAAAGUCCAGGGCUCAACCCUGGGAUGCCGGUGGAUACUGUCGGGCUCGAGUCCGGAAGAGGAGUGUGGAAUUCCUGGUGUAGCGGUGAAAUGCGCAGAUAUCAGGAGGAACACCAAUGGCGAAGGCAGCACUCUGGGACGUGACUGACGGCUGAGACGCGAAAGCGUGGGGAGCAAACAGGG